rnacentral:rRNA from 1 species
GAUGAACGCUAGCGGAAGGCUUAAUACAUGCAAGUCGAGCGGUAGGUGGCUUCGGCCAUUGAGAGCGGCGCACGGGUGAGUAACGCGUACAUGACCUGCCUGUCAGAAGGGGAUAGCCCUGGGAAACUGGGAUUAAUACCCUAUGGUAUUGAUAUUAUGAAUGAUAUCAAUUAAAGUUGAGGCGCUGACAGAUGGAUGUGCGUCUGAUUAGCUAGUUGGUAGGGUAACGGCCUACCAAGGCGACGAUCAGUAGGGGGCGUGAGAGCGUGGUCCCCCACACGGGUACUGAGACACGGACCCGACUCCUACGGGAGGCAGCAGUAAGGAAUAUUGGUCAAUGCCCGCAAGGGUGAACCAGCCAUUCCGCGUGGAGGAUGAAGGCCCUAUGGGUUGUAAACUUCUUUUAGAUGGGAAGAAAAUGCUAGAUGUAUCUGGUACUGACGGUACCAUCAGAAUAAGCACCGGCUAACUCCGUGCCAGCAGCCGCGGUAA